GGUAACGGCCUCCCCAAGGGCGACGAUGCGUAGCCGACCUGAGAGGGGUGAUCGGCCACACUGGGGACUGAGACACGGUCCAGACUCAUACGGGAGGCAGCAGUAGGGAAUCAUCCGCAAUGGACGAAAGUCUGACGGUGCAACGCCGCGUGAGUGAUGAAGGUUUUCGGAUCGUAAAGCUCUGUUGUGAGGGAAGAAUAGGAUGGGGAGGAAAUGCCCGAUCUGUGACGGUACCUCACCAGAAAGCCCCGGCUAACUACGUGCCAGCAGCCGCGGUAAUACGUAGGGGGCAAGCGUUGUCCGGAAUUAUUGGGCGUAAAGGGCACGCAGGCGGUCCGGCAAGUCGGAUGUGAAAGGCCGUGGCUCAACCACGGAAUGGCAUUGGCAACUGCCAGACUUGAGUACAGAAGAGGAGAGUGGAAUUCCACGUGUAGCGGUGAAAUGCGUAGAGAUGUGGAGGAACACCAGUGGCGAAGGCGACUCUCUGGUCUGUGACUGACGCUGAGGUGCGAAAGCGUGGGGAGCGAAC
rnacentral:rRNA from 1 species